AGGGGGCGGCCACUCAGUUCACAUUGAGGACUGGUCAAACAGCAUUUCUGAUCCCGUUUCUGACCUGAAAUUAGCUGAAAUGUACCUGAAAUUACCUGGAAUUAGAGUGUGCCCGCCCGAGCGAGUGAUGCCUAAAACAUUCAAGCAAAACUGAAGAUCAGGAACUGGAACCUGGGAACCUGGAAGAUGAUGUUGUCCUGAAGGACACAAUUCAGGCAGCAGCAUGGUGCCAGUUACAGUCCUUCAAGGACAGCGUUUCUCUCCCAGAGGUCAUUGGGAUGGAAGGUUGGGAGCAGAUGGCAGCAUCAACACAGCGCAAAUCCCAUGACGGCGGGGAUGAGGAAGAAACGUGGAAACCAUUCCAAUUCUCAUUCAGAUUACAUACUGACUAUGAACUGUUCUGUGUGGAGAUGAUGGACAGGAGAAACCUGAAGGUGUUUGCCUCUUUUGAGUCAAACACCUCUCCCCCUCCCCGUCCUCCCUCCCCGUGACGCCUGCGCCACACGACUCCAAUGUAGUCUGAGGAUGCAGCAUAAUGGCGGCGCUUGGCAGCUAUGGCGGCGGUGACGGCGAUGUCGGGUGACAGAGCGUGAAGCGAGAGUGGCGUCCACCUCACUGAGGAAGGCGUCAGUGUGUUCCCCCC
ensembl:lncRNA